ACUCCUACGGGAGGCAGCAGUGAGGAAUAUUGGACAAUGGGCGCGAGCCUGAUCCAGCCAUGCCGCGUGCAGGAAGACAGCCUUAUGGGUUGUAAACUGCUUUUAUACGGGAAGAAACCUAUCUACGCGUAGAUAGUUGACGGUACCGUAAGAAUAAGCACCGGCUAACUCCGUGCCAGCAGCCGCGGUAAUACG
rnacentral:rRNA from 1 species